UCUCUGCUAUUUUUCACCGAAUGCAGUCGAACGAACUUCCGUUAAUUGAUUAUGACGUACUUGUACUGAUUGAGAUUUUAACACGAAGUGAGUGGCGAACGGGUGAGUAACACGUGGGUAACCUGCCCAGAAGUAGGGGAUAACACCUGGAAACAGAUGCUAAUACCGUAUAACAGAGAAAACCGCAUGGUUUUCUUUUAAAAGAUGGCUCUGCUAUCACUUCUGGAUGGACCCGCGGCGUAUUAGCUAGUUGGUGAGGUAAAGGCUCACCAAGGCAGUGAUACGUAGCCGACCUGAGAGGGUAAUCGGCCACAUUGGGACUGAGACACGGCCCAGACUCCUACGGGAGGCAGCAGUAGGGAAUCUUCCACAAUGGACGCAAGUCUGAUGGAGCAACGCCGCGUGAGUGAAGAAGGGUUUCGGCUCGUAAAGCUCUGUUGUUAAAGAAGAACGUGGGUAAGAGUAACUGUUUACCCAGUGACGGUAUUUAACCAGAAAGCCACGGCUAACUACGUGCCAGCAGCCGCGGUAAUACGUAGGUGGCAAGCGUUAUCCGGAUUUAUUGGGCGUAAAGCGAGCGCAGGCGGUCUUUUAAGUCUAAUGUGAAAGCCUUCGGCUCAACCGAAGAAGUGCAUUGGAAACUGGGAGACUUGAGUGCAGAAGAGGACAGUGGAACUCCAUGUGUAGCGGUGAAAUGCGUAGAUAUAUGGAAGAACACCAGUGGCGAAGGCGGCUGUCUGGUCUGCAACUGACGCUGAGGCUCGAAAGCAUGGGUAGCGAACAGGAUUAGAUACCCUGGUAGUCCAUGCCGUAAACGAUGAUUACUAAGUGUUGGAGGGUUUCCGCCCUUCAGUGCUGCAGCUAACGCAUUAAGUAAUCCGCCUGGGGAGUACGACCGCAAGGUUGAAACUCAAAAGAAUUGACGGGGCCCGCACAAGCGGUUGAGCAUGUGGUUUAAUUUCGAAGCUACGCGAAGAACCUUACCAGGUUCUUGACAUCUUUCUGAACAGUCUAAGAAGAUAGAAGUUCCUUCCGCG
rnacentral:rRNA from 1 species